rnacentral:sRNA from 1 species
GCUGGGCGUGGCGGCGCGCACCUGUCAUCCCAGCAGCUCAGGAGGCUGAGGCAGGAGGAUCACAAGUUCAAAGCCAGCCUCAG